GAUGAAGAACGUAGCGAAAUGCGAUAAGUAAUGUGAAUUGCAGAAUUCAGUGAAUCAUCGAAUCUUUGAACGCACAUUGCGCCCCCUGGUAUUCCGGGGGGCAUGCCUGUCCGAGCGUCAUUAAACCCUCAAGCUCAGCUUGGUGUUGGGCCCCGCCGCCCCGGCGGGCCCUAAAGUCAGUGGCGGUGCCGUCCGGCUCCGAGCGUAGUAAUUCUUCUCGCUCUGGAGGUCCGGUCGUGUGCUCGCCAGCAACCCCCAAUUUUUUUCAGGUUGACCUCGGAUCAGGUAGGGAUACCCGCUGAACUUAAGCAUAUCAAUAAGCGGAGGA
rnacentral:misc_RNA from 1 species